GUCAGAGGUCAUGGGUUCGACUUCCGGCUCUGCCACUCGUCAGCUGUGUGACUGUGGGCAAGUCACUUCACUUCUCUGGGCCUCAGUUACCUCAUCUGUAAAAUGGGGAUUAACUGUGAGCCUCACGUGGGACAACCUGAUUACCCUGUAUCUACCCCAGCGCUUAGAACAGUGCUUUGCACAUAGUAAGCGCUUAACAAAUACCAACAUUAUUAUUAAUACGAUGGAAAGAAUGAAUUGAGUGAAUACAGUGAUGAGAAAGAUGGGGUUUGGAUGGGGCGAUGAGCUCUGUUUUGGACACAUUAAGUCUGAGGUAUCUACAGGACAUCCAAAUAGAGGUGUCCAGAAGGCAGGAGGUAAUGAAGACUGCAGAGGAGAGAGAUCAGGGCUAGAGAGGUAGAUAUGGGAACCAUUUGGAAAUCAUCUGCGUAGAGAUGGUUGUUGAAGCCAAGGGAGUGAAUGAGUUCUCCAAGGGAGUGGGCCUGAUAUCAUCAUUCAAUAGUAUUUAUUGAGCGCUUACUAUGUGCAGAGCACUGUACUAAGCGCUUGGAAUGUACGAUAUGUUUCUUUGGCUUGAUUACAGAAACCGUGCCGCUUCUUCGGGCGUCAGAUCCCAUCCUUGUGGUGGAGCCCUCGCUUUGGCCCCCAUCCUCCGGCCCUGGGGUCUUCCGAAAGCAGCCCCAAGCUGGCCCUUGCCGUUGGGCAGAUCCCUGCAGGUUUCCCGCUGGGGGAGCCCGGCGGCCAGCUGCUAUUUCAUCGGGUGGCCAGCAGAGGGCAGCUUGUUUCUGGGAAUUGUAGCCACAGAAGAUGGGCGAAGCAAGGAACUGGUGGAGGCCAAGACUUUUUCUUUCCUCCUCAACCCCGCCCAGGCAAUAGGUGGCCUUGUCAGCACAUCAGUUAGGGGGGUUCCUUCCCAUGCCAUGGAUAAGCUGAUUAGACCACACAUCUUGGGAGAACUAAGGUUGAAGGUUGCCUGGCCGACAGGAGGAAAGGGCUGUGCCCCCACCACAUCAUUUGGCCUGGAGACCCCUAAACUGCAGUAUAUCCCCCAGUGGCUGAAGCGGGGAUCUGGACUGAGAAACUCAGAACUCCUUGGCAUCAUCAGAAGUUGUCUUCAACCCAAAAGAAAUCAAAGGUUUACAGUUCCUGAGUCGUCCGGGGCUCUUCCUUCCAACCAGUCAGCCAAGAAAAAAGGCCAAGAUGAAAGGCAGAAAAGUUCCACUCCCUAUGCUAAAGGAGGGCUGUGUUAA
rnacentral:lncRNA from 1 species